UACGAGGUGGUAGGGAACGUAGAAAAGGACCGACCCUUCGGGAGCCGUGAACAGGUGCUGCAUGGCUGUCGUCAGCUCGUGUCGUGAGAUGUCCGGUUAAGUCCGGUAACGAGCGCAACCCUUGCCGUAUGUUACAAGUGUCAUACGGGACUGCCGGUAUCAAGCCGGAGGAAGGUGGGAUGACGUCAAGUCAGCAUGGCCUUUAUAUCCGGGGCUACACACACGCUACAAUGGUCAGUACAACAGGUUGCAAAGCCGCGAGGUGGAGCCAAUCCAUAAAGCUGGCCUCAGUUCAGAUUGCAGGCUGCAACUCGCCUGCAUGAAGUUGGAGUUGCUAGUAACCGCGCGUCAGCUAUACUGCGUUGAAUACGUUCCCGGGGUUU
rnacentral:rRNA from 1 species